rnacentral:rRNA from 1 species
GAUGAACGCUGGCGGCGUGCUUAACACAUGCAAGUCGAACGAUGAAGGUGGGAGCUUGCUCCUACUGGAUCAGUGGCGAACGGGUGAGUAACACGUGAGCAAUCUGCCCCGAACUCUGGGAUAAGCGCUGGAAACGGCGUCUAAUACCGGAUACGACGCGCAAGGGCAUCCUCUGCGCGUGGAAAGAAUUUCGGUUCGGGAUGAGCUCGCGGCCUAUCAGCUUGUUGGUGGGGUAAUGGCUCACCAAGGCGACGACGGGUAGCCGGCCUGAGAGGGUGACCGGCCACACUGGGACUGAGACACGGCCCAGACUCCUACGGGAGGCAGCAGUGGGGAAUAUUGCACAAUGGGCGCAAGCCUGAUGCAGCAACGCCGCGUGAGGGACGACGGCCUUCGGGUUGUAAACCUCUUUUAGUAGGGAAGAAGCGAAAGUGACGGUACCUGCAGAAAAAGCACCGGCUAACUACGUGCCAGCCGCCGCCGUAAAAC